rnacentral:SRP_RNA from 1 species
GCCUGCUGCUGUAGUAUGAUCCCGUUGUCCCAGCGACUCAGGAGGCUGAGGUAGGAGGCUCACUUGAGCCCAGUUCUGGGUUGUAGUUUCCAAUGCCGACUGAGUGCCCACACUAAGUUCAGCGUCAAUAUGGUGACUUCCCAAGAGCUGGGGGACCACUAGGUUGCCCCAGGAGGGGGAACCAGCCAGAUUGGGAAUGGAGCAGGUCAAAACUCCCUUAAUGAUCAAUAGUGGAAUCGCUCAUGUGAGCCACUGCCCUCCAGCCUAGGCAAUAUUGCAAGCUCUGUCUCU